CCGUCCAAAGAAUCUGGUUUUUUGCCCUCUACUCCAUCUCACCCCACACACUCUGAGUAAUUUGGUAGUUUGGAGUUAGGUGUGGAUCUGUGGUCGCCAGCCUUCAAGAUGGCUCCUGUCAUCCUUGCCUCCUGGGGUUCAUGCCCUUGUCGUUCCCUCUGUCAGUGAAUAGGGCUGAUCUGUGUAACCAGUGUGGUAUUGCAGAAGAGACAAAGUGUGACUUCUGGGACUAGGUCAUAAAAGACAGUGGUGUUUUCAUGUGUCAGUGCUCUCUGUUAGAUCACUUGCUCUGGGAGAAGCCAGCUGCCAUCAGGUGGGGACACUAGAGCAGCCCCAGGGAGCUCCCAUAUGGCAAGGAACUGAGACCUGCUGCCAACACCCAGGACCAAUUUGCCAUCCAUGAGAGUGGGCUGUCUCGAAAGUGGGUAAGUCAACCCAGUGUUUUAGUCAGUGCUUGCUGCUAAGGCAGGAGAGAAUAAUUGUGUAAAGAGGGGCCUCCUGCAGUGCAGGACAGGAAGCCACCAUGUGAGCACCACGUCCAUGUGCAGGUCGCAGGCUUCAUUAUGUCCUGAAUACUAUGCCUCUGCAUUUUAUGUUUCUACUUCUACCUCUCCAGCCCCGAAUACUCAUGGAAUAUUGCUGUACCUAUGACAGGUUGCACGAUUUUUCCCCCUCUGUGCACUCAAUUUGUGUAUUAUUGUAUCAUAUGACAUUCUGAAUCAAGUGCUGCUAGUACCAAGCUGCUAUCAUCAGCUGAUGCCAAAAAUAUUCGUUAUAACACUUCUCAGCAUGCAAGUGAGAGCACUUCAAAUCACACAGACAGAAUUUCCAGCCAUUGUUCUUUUCUUUUUUGCUUAUUAUACAGCAACAAGAAUCAAAACAAAAGGGGAUUUAUUAGAAAAUAAGGCUUCAGUAAAAUGUUAUAAAACAUGAGGUUUAUUGUUUGUGAAGACAGAGUGAAAUUCAGUACCACAUUAUAGAUACUGCCUCAGAGGCCUAUUUUCCCCUUCUUUUCUCUUUUCCCAAAUGUUUUUCAAGUGGCAUCUUUUUUUGUCUUUGAUUACAUUAAGGUGCAAACCAUUUAUCCAUCUGGAAAUAAGCAAUACUGUCAACAGAGAACCAGGAAAUGAAAAGUGCAGCCAGCCAUAUGCCUUCUCUAUGGCCUCUUUAUGUUACUAUGCUGAUCAAGACAAAUGCAGUACCCAUGGUAGCAAUAGGGAGAGUGAAAAUAUGUAUUCUCCAAGGGAAGACAAUUAAAAGACAAAUUCCAUCAGGAAGAUUUGUCAUUUUCUAGUGUUGAGAGUGCUGAGCCUGCAUCUAUCAGCAAAUUUCAUAUAAAUUAAUUUAUUUUACAAAGUGAAUGUUGAAACUUGGAAGCCAACUGACAAGAUGCCAGGGAUGGCAUGGGAAGGAAGAGAGAGCCUUCAUGGCAAUUUUGAAUACCUGAUCUCUUGCUUUCAUCAUCUUCUCUAGGGGAAGAAACACAGAACCUGUUAGUUGGGAGGUGAGGGGAAGGAAUGGAUACCAGAGAUGGACAGACAGUGGGGUGGUGAGAAGGGAGCUGCGAUUUGCUAAUCCUUUUAGUACUGCCUGUCAAUCAUCUUGCUUUCCUUAAUCAUCGAUCCUGGAGAGACUUUGAGCAAAGGGCUGGUGGAGUUGUGCAGAUGUGAUCCUCAGUUCAGCCUUAUGAAUACAUACCACGGUCUCUUUAAAUCUGUGGUUCCUGCACAAAGUGCUGAGUCAGGCUAAUAGAGAGGUCCAGAUGUCACAUAUGCGAAUUAGAAAGAAAUGAGGACCAUGGCUAUGGCCCACUGUGUUCAAAAGAGACGCCAAAACCACCCACUGGCAUUCAUUGCUGUCUAAUACGUGACCUGUCCUGCUGUUUAUUAUGUGGGGUGGCUCCCUAUUUUAAAAACCGUAUUCAUAAAAAGAUAUUUCUCAUCCUGCUGAGUCUCAGGCCCAUUAUUGUAGGUGAGGUGGUUUCUUUUGUUUGAUAUAUAACGUUUUGCUGACUUUGACUUGGAAAUUGUAAAGGCUUACCCAAAACCCUGAAGGAAAAGCUAAGAAUUCAUACUUAUUAAGCACUUGGUAGGUGUCUGACACUCUAGUAAAUAUAUACGAGAGCCCAGAACAAGCUGAUGUCCAUGUACAUAUCUUUAAAAAAUAUAAUGAUCUAGUCUUAUCUGUGGAAACUGCUUCAGAUACUGAUCUUACUCUUUCCUGUUACAUCAGAAAUUCUGGAAGAUAAUAUCCUGAAAGGUUUAUCCUCAAGAAUAACAAUACAUUAAAAUCUUCUGCUUUGAAAAUACUUUGAAAUUGUCAUUUUUUUUUUUUUUUUUUGCUAUAGAGUAUAAGUUAGGAAAUAUUUGGCAGGUGAAAUCAGACAUCCUCUCAACUCUGUCAGUUUUUGUCAAUUUCUGGGAUGAUGAAAGAUAUGAGAACUAGAAGGCUGGUUUAGUACUGACUCCUGGUUUAUGUUAAAUAAUGAAAUGCAAGCCAGAAGGACAAAUUGGCAGGGGCUCCGGCCAGCCAGCCAUUCUGCAAGCACUUGGGACUGGGCAAAGUGAGAGUCCAGGUCACAGACAAGGCCGGCUCUAAUCCAGAUAACUGUGGAGUCAGCAUUAAUGUGCUGACUCACUGCAGUGAGUCUCAAGCAUUUCUCUUAUCCUUUAAAUGCUUCCAAGUUUUGUUCUUUAAGUCCAAGUAGGCACCACAGGCACCAUGUGGGCAAGCAGGAGGGUCGGCCUGGGGUCCUACAAUAGGUGAUAGGACCCCAGGUAGUAGGGCCCCACCUCCCCUUUGAGGUGGUACAAACCAGAGCUUUGGAGGAGUCAGGGCAGAGGUGCAGACACCUUCCUGGGACCUGUUGAAUCCUUUCAGGUGUACGUAGCUGCUGGGCUGUGAGCUCUGUCUUUUUUGCCAGCCUUAUUCUUAGGAUCUGAUUUUAUUCCAGUCAAGCCUUUAACAUUCUUUCCUUGGUUUCCUCAGUAUAGCACACCCCACAGUAUGGUAUUGUAUGGGGACUCUCAGCUUGAUGGAUGCUGAUUUUUCUGGUUCUAAAAAAUGUUAUGUAUUGAUCCAUCUAUUUUAAUUUAUACCUAUGCAGUUAUUUAUUUACUUUGGUGAAUAGAGAACACAUUCUUGACACAGGGAAGGAAUACACUCCUUUAAGCUUCUUCUAGCACCACUGUGAAAGCUUCUAGACUUUUUUUCCUCCCAAAUCCUAUGAACAUGUUAGCGAGUUCCUCUCUGCCUUCUACUCAAAACUCAAAAUACAGUUUCUCUAAUCUGAAGGUAGGACCAAACCCCAUGUAUAAAAUUCCCAGGGUAAUAUUUAUAAAGACAAUUUCAAAAGAAGAAAAGGCUUAAUUGUAACUUGUAAAUGAUGGUUCAUGAAGGAAUGUAGAUAAUUUAUAAGAUUGUUUUGAGUUCGUUGGUAGAAAUAUUUUCAACAGCGUGUGGCUGAAAAGUUAGAAAAUUUAUAUCAAUCAUGUUUUUUAGCAAAGCAUCCUUUUACUGCUUUUAGAGUCACGCACAAGAAAACUUGCAGCUUACUAGCUAUAAAAUACUAUUGCUCCAUUUUAACUCUCUCUUUGUUUUGAUUUUUUCUUUUUAUGUGAAAGUGAUACAAAGUGAAUAAGAAUAACAUUGUUUUUCAAAAUAUUAUUGGUUAUAGAAUUUGUACUUGGUUUCUGCAACAUCUUAUGCUCCCCUAAAGGACAAUUUAAACUAUAUAGGUUUGCAUAGAUCCAUAGAGUAGGUCUCACAAAGACAGAGUUAUCCUUUGCUGCUGGUAUGUCAUUUUGUAGGCAUUUUAGCUGUGACAAGGGCUGGUGACAACUGCGUAGGGUGAAAAUGACUAUGUGAUUUUAAGGAUUGUGGAGGGACGCAGCAAUAAAUCUGCUCUGGUAGGAGUGACAGUAGCCCUGGACCUAGCUCAGGGCUGUACCCUAUCACUCACUCCAGAAUAAAGCUGAAGACCACAGCCAAGUCUUGCAUAUGCAGAAGGACACAAUGCUACAUUGGCGCUGGGCUCAGGCACAGCACUAGAAUUUAAUGGAAAAGUUGGUAGUUGGCACCAGAACAAAGUAGAUCAGGUCCAGAGAGCCAAAGAUAUGUUUCUCUCAAUCUUAGGAGACUGUUGACUAUUACACUCAGGCUACUCCAGGAAGGUAGCAGUGAUAAUUUUGAUAAUGUGCUAUGUGGCUUAUUACCAUUUGUCUUAGUCUGCUCAGGCUGCUAUAAAACAUACACUAAGAUGGGUAGCUUAUAAUCUAAACAGAAAUUUAUUGUCCAGUUCUGGAAGCUGGGAUGUCCAAUAUCCAGGCACUGGCAGGGUGGGUGUCUGGUGAGGGCUCAUACUCUGGCUCUUAGACAGUGCCUUCUCCUUGCUUCCUCAGGUGGUAGAAGGGACAAGAGAGCUGUCUGUUUCCUUUAUAAAGGCACUAAUCCCAUUUGUGAGGGCUUCACUCUCAUGACCUAAGCACCUCCCAAAAAUCUCACUUCGUAAUCCCAUUACCUUGGGGAUUAGACUGUCAACAUGUGAAUUUUGGAGGGACAUAAUCAUUCCGUUCAUUGUACCAUUUGUUAUUUAACUGAGCUCUUCUUUGAAAACUAAGUCUCUUUCUAAAUAUCCACAACUUAAUAGAAAUAACUUACCCUUUAAAGUAAGAAUAACCCUUUAAGAAUAGAAUAACUCCCUAAGGCUACCAUGUUCUGACUUCACUGGAAUCUUAGAGAGAAAGAGAGAAAGGCAGAGAGAGGAGAGGGAGGGAGGGAGGGGGGGUAGAGAGAGAGAGAGAGCAAAAAAAUCAUUCACACACAAACAAGGUAACCGUGGUAUUAAGAGAACCAUACAUUAUUCAGCAGUGAUUCAUCCUCUAAGCAUGUGUUGAGCAUGUACAAUGUAUAGAGCAUUGUCUAAGGCCUGGACCUAUGUUGGCAAAUUAAGAUAAGACACAGAAUCUCUUCUUAUGGGUCUGAAAGUCUAAUGCAGGGGUCAGCAAACUACGAUCUGCAAGCUGAACCUACCUCCUACUGGUUUUUGUAUGACCCUCAAGCUAAGACUGAAAAACACCAAAAGAAGACUAGUAUUUUGUGUCAUGUAAAAAAUUAUGUGAAUUUAAUUUAGGUGUACAGACACCGAAGUAAAAUUUUAUCAGAACGUAGCCAUCCUUAUUCUUUUACAUAUUGCCUAUGAUGGUUUUCAUGUUAUAAUGUCCAACUUGAGUAGUUACAUCAAAUAACUUUUGGUGCACAAAGCCUAAAAUAUUUAAUUUUAGCUCUUUACUGAAAAAGUUUCAAUGGGUUUUCUAAUGGGCUAGAAAGCCAUUAAUCAGAUUAUCACACCAUUAAAAGUAAGCAUGUGGGAAAUGCUGGGAAUGAAUGGUGUAUAAAUGUAUGAAUGUGUAUAAUGAGAUCUAGAAAUAUAGUGAUGGCAAGCAGACCCACGGUGGAAUUAAAACCUUCAUCACUUUUUGUUUAAUUCUUUACAGGGCUCACAAGAGACCACACUCAAGGAGUGAUGAACAAAUUGUAAUUGGUAACAUAAUUCUAGUAAUACUAAGUGUUGAGGAGUUUCUGACUGAAUCCCUACUUCUCUGAUGUUGAAGGUGUUGUAAGGCAAAGGGUCAAGAAAUCAAUUUAGUGACAUCCUAUAAUGCCCAGGCUUUCAUUGGCUAACCUUGGCAUUUAUUGGUACUCCAAUUGAAAAAAAAAAAACCUGACAAAUU